rnacentral:rRNA from 1 species
AUUGAACGCUGGCGGCAUGCCUUACACAUGCAAGUCGAACGGCAGCGCGGGAACAAUCCUGGCGGCGAGUGGCGAACGGGUGAGUAAUAUAUCGGAACGUGCCCAGUAGUGGGGGAUAGCCCGGCGAAAGCCGGAUUAAUACCGCAUACGACCUACGGGUGAAAGGGGGGGAUCGCAAGACCUCUCGCUAUUGGAGCGGCCGAUAUCAGAUUAGGUAGUUGGUGGGGUAAAGGCCCACCAAGCCUACGAUCUGUAGUUGGUCUGAGAGGACGACCAGCCACACUGGGACUGAGACACGGCCCAGACUCCUACGGGAGGCAGCAGUGGGGAAUUUUGGACAAUGGGGGCAACCCUGAUCCAGCAAUGCCGCGUGCAGGAAGAAGGCCUUCGGGUUGUAAACUGCUUUUGUCAGGGAAGAAAUCCCUUGGGUUAAUACCUCGGGGGGAUGACGGUACCUGAAGAAUAAGCACCGGCUAACUACGUGCCAGCCGCCGCAGUAAAAC